GGCAGCGUGGCAUGGUGGUUUGAGUGUUGGACUAUGACUCUGGAGAACAGGGUUCAAAUCCCUGCUCAGCCA
rnacentral:tRNA from 1 species